AGAUUAGCCAUGCAUGUCUAAGUAUAAGCAAUUAUACAGCGAAACUGCGAAUGGCUCAUUAUAUAAGUUAUCGUUUAUUUGAUAGUACCUUACUACUUGGAUAACCGUGGUAAUUCUAGAGCUAAUACAUGCUGAAAAUCCCGACUUCGGAAGGGAUGUAUUUAUUAGAUUCAAAACCAAUGCCCUCUGGGCUCUCUGGUGAUUCAUGAUAACUGCUCGAAUCGCACGGCCUUGCGCCGGCGAUGGCUCAUUCAAAUUUCUUCCCUAUCAACUUUCGAUGUUUGGGUAGUGGCCAAACAUGGUUGCAACGGGUAACGGAGGGUUAGGGCUCGACCCCGGAGAAGGAGCCUGAGAAACGGCUACUACAUCCAAGGAAGGCAGCAGGCGCGCAAAUUACCCAAUCCCGACACGGGGAGGUAGUGACAAUAAAUACCGAUACAGGGCUCUUUUGGGUCUUGUAAUUGGAAUGAGUACAAUUUAAAUCCCUUAACGAGGAACAAUUGGAGGGCAAGUCUGGUGCCAGCAGCCGCGGUAAUUCCAGCUCCAAUAGCGUAUAUUAAAGUUGUUGUGGUUAAAAAGCUCGUAGUUGAACCUUGGGCCUGGCUGGCCGGUCCGCCUCACCGCGUGCACUGGUCCGGCCGGGCCUUUCCCUCUGUGGAACCCCAUGCCCUUCGCUGGGCGUGGCGGGGAAACAGGACUUUUACUUUGAAAAAAUUAGAGUGCUCCAGGCAGGCCUAUGCUCGAAUACAUUAGCAUGGAAUAAUGAAAUAGGACGCGCGGUUCUAUUUUGUUGGUUUCUAGGACCGCCGUAAUGAUUAAUAGGGACAGUCGGGGGCGUCGGUAUUCAAUAGUCAGAGGUGAAAUUCUUGGAUCUAUUGAAGACCAACUACUGCGAAAGCAUUCGUCAAGGAUGUUUUCAUUAAUCAGAACGAAGUUAGGGGAUCGAAGACGAUCAGAUACCGUCGUAGUCUUAACCAU
rnacentral:rRNA from 1 species